UUGUCCUCUUUCAAAUUAUCCUUCUCAAAUGUAAAUAUAUCAAUAAACCCCCAAUUAUAAAUGCAAGGAGGCAACUAGUUAUAUUCUAAGUAACUUUCUGUCCAAGUUGAUUUCUCACUUUAGAUUUAUUUGUUUCAAUAUUUCAUAUGAUUUCAGUCCGGGUUAUUUGAAUCUAAUGGCCUAAAUUGUAUACGCGAAGUAUACUUUCUUUGAAUUGAAAUAUAAGUAUUAUUCGUUCUAUUUGAAAAGUAAACUGAGUAAUAAAUUAGAUUGUAAAAAAAGUCUUGUUUCUGCAGAUUUUUUUUUUUUUUAUGUUUUUUGGAAUUUUUUCUGAAUGUAAAAUGUGAUUUUAGAAGAGGCACAUGAAGAUCAUUAUGAGUAAAAUUAUCAUACUAAAUGCUUCAAGAACUUGGGAUAAUUUUGAAACUGUGUGAAUGUGGAUGUUAUCAGCCAAUAGCUGUUGAGAGAGAGCCAUAGUUAAUUUCGUUAAUAGCUUAGGAUGAGCUGUAGCUUAACAAAACCGCAUCAAAAAGGCAGAGAAAGGAGGAGAGAGAUCGAAGAUUUUCACACCUAAAGCAAUGGCGAAGAAGACAACCCACAUGAACAAGAGGCAGAAACUGAAAGAGAUUGAUAACAUACCAAAAUAUUCUCAUCAACCCAGAAGCCCUGCACCCAAACGUCGUCGUACUGACUUCUCUGUCUUCUCCAAUUCUUCUUCUCUCUGCAAUUCAGGUUACUUACUGGGGCAAUCCUCAGUUCAAGAUGGAUUGUCCUGUGCUACCAUAAGCAGUUCAGCUGAUGGGCAGGAUAAUAGGAAAAUGAUGCUUGAGCUCUCUUCGGCUCGCUCCUGCAAAUCCCAGGGUCAAGGAGAUAAAUUAUUUUCUAAAUUCUAUAAAGCUCCAGCAAUGGAAGCAGAAUCAGUUGUCCAUGAUGCAGUAAUUGACCUUUGUGGUGACAGGAAACUUGGCAAAGAAAUAAAGGAUAAUGAAGAGAUAUUGGAUAUUUCCCCAAAGAGAACACAAGUUCUAGAAAAAAUUGGAGUUUGCUUAACUCCUGGAAAAGUGGUAUGGGCUAAAACAGCUUGCCAGAUGUGGUGGCCUGCUGAAAUCAUUGAAGAGAAAUCUCUUUCUAUUAAUUCAGCAAAUCAAGGGAGUGAUGGACAUGUUUUGGUACAAUUUUAUGGGAACUGUCACAGUGCUUGGGUUGAUCCAGCUAGAGAUGUUUCAGAGCUUGAGGAUAGCUUUGAAGAAAGGUGCCUCAACUCUUCGGAAAAUUUUCAAGAUGCUUUAAAACAAGCCUUGUUACAGAGGAAGGAACAUAUAAGUUCAUGCCGAGAGUUUCUUGCAAGCCCUGAUAGGUCCAAUCUCUCAGUUCAGCAAGACCAGUUGUCUGAACCAUACCAUGUCUCCCAGUUGCAAUCGUGCGGCGCGGGUGGUGACGCCGGCAUUGCAGUGUUCGCCUGGGGUUAGCAAGGAGCUAGCGCACAACCAGCUCGCGUGGGCGUCGAGACUGCGGAGCGUGGUGGUAUAUUAGGAUCCUAAGUGCAAGAUAUGAGAUUUGGAUCCCACAUUGGAAAGUAUGAGCAACUAGUGUGGGGUUUAUAUGACCUUGGACUCUCCCAUCUCAAUAGCUAGCUUUUGAGGUGUGGUUCUCCUAAGGUAAAUGGACUUCAUCAACUUCCAGUGGAUUGGUUACCAAUCUCCCUAAAAGAGGUAAAGAAAAGAGAGAAAGGAAGCCGAAAAUUCAUUUUGAUGAGGUGACAUUUCCACUAAAAUCUUCG